rnacentral:lncRNA from 1 species
AUUAAUCAGUGGCCAUUAUUAGCAAUCCACAUUUAUCCAAUCAAAAUUAGGAUUUAAUUAAUACUAUUAUUUAAGAAAAUUUAAAAAUAAGAAAAAAAAAUUCUCUCUCUCUCCGGUACAUAGCUUCCAAUGGUAAGAUGGAAAAGAAAUAAAUAAAGCUUCCAACUGUAAGAUGGAAAAAAAUAAAAUAAAAGGACACUACCUCUCUAACCCAUGACCACCUUAAAUCUCUCUUAAGCUCUCUCUCUCUCACAGACCCCCCCUCAGGCUGAAAAGAAAAAAAGAAACAAAGAAGAAGAAAUACUUUCUUCCUCUCCUGCCGCACAUCACUUCCACCCACACAGCACAUCCACCGCACCCCGUCUUCCUCUUCACACCAAAACCACCUCCAUCUUCCUCUCUAAAUCCAGCCGAAAAAUCGUUUCUUUCGCCUCCUAAAAACAAUCACCACCGUUCACCACCGAAACAACCUCCACCAUGCACCUCCGUCCGGCGAACCAUCAUCCUCACUCCCUUUCCUUAAUAACUCCCUCGCCGCUACAACCGCCGACAAACCCAACCUACCAUCAUCCCCCAUCGUCUUCACCAUACUAACACCUCAUUCUCGCUUCCGUCAAAACAACCAACUGCGCCUCCGGCGGUUCUCCACCACUUCGUCCUCUGGAUUCAACACCUCCAACCUUCGUCUCUGUUGAAUUUCCAUCUGGUUUAGAAGGAUAACACCUCAUUCUCGCUUCCGUCAAAACAACCAACUGCGCCUCCGGCGGUUCUCCACCACUUCGUCCUCUGGAUUCAACACCUCCAACCUUCGUCUCUGUUGAAUUUCCAUCUGGUUUAGAAGGCUCGUUCAGCCAUCACUGUAUGUUGCAAUAGUGGCGGUGACGACGUUUCUUUUGUGACUUAAAAACUCUGAAAAAAGACCAGGUUUUGUAAAGGUAAGACAAUAACGACCACAACCUCGACUCAACUCGUGUUUCCGCAACAACGGGAAUUUGCGCAACUUCGCCUCGUUUCUUUCCGUCGGGCUUCCAUAACCGAAAAAACCAAACAACAAACCUUCCAGCUCUGCAACGACAACAAAUGACAGCAGUGACACAACUUCGGUAAAUAUAUCGAUUUCGUAUGCUUAAUGUGUUAUGAUUUUGAGAAUAAUUUUGUUAUUACAGUAAACUUUUAUCACUGGUUUGUGUUGAUUUCUCUUGUAUCACAACUUGUUGUAACUAUUAUAGUAAUAUGGAUAUUCUAAAAUUGAUUCCAUUUGGUAGUCGGUUUGAAUACGAC